UAGGGAAUCUUCCGCAAUGGACGCAAGUCUGACGGAGCGACGCCGCGUGAGUGAAGAAGGAUUUCGGUUCGUAAAACUCUGUUGUUAGAGAAGAACAGCGCAUAGAGUAACUGUUAUGCGUGUGACGGUAUCUAACCAGAAAGCCACGGCUAACUACGUGCCAGCAGCCGCGGUAAUACGUAGGUGGCAAGCGUUGUCCGGAUUUAUUGGGCGUAAAGCGAGCGCAGGCGGUCAAUUAAGUCUGAUGUGAAAGCCCCCGGCUCAACCGGGGAGGGUCAUUGGAAACUGGUUGACUUGAGUGCAGAAGAGGAGAGUGGAAUUCCAUGUGUAGCGGUGAAAUGCGUAGAUAUAUGGAGGAACACCAGUGGCGAAGGCGACUCUCUGGUCUGUAACUGACGCUGAGGCUCGAAAGCGUGGGUAGCAAACAGG
rnacentral:rRNA from 1 species